rnacentral:rRNA from 1 species
UCCGUAGGUGAACCUGCGGAAGGAUCAUUCACAAUGAGUGUUUUAUGGCACUCUUUAAAAAUCCAUAUCCACCUUGUGUGCAAUGUUUGUUGGGAGAGAGGCAACUCUUUCCCUUCACAAAUAUCAACCUAUAUCUUUAACAACAUUCGUCUGAUAACAUAUUAUGAAUAUACUUAAUUCAAAAUAUAACUUUCAACAACGGAUCUCUUGGCUCUCGCAUCGAUGAAGAACGCAGCGAAAUGCGAUACGUAAUGUGAAUUGCAGAAUUCAGUGAAUCAUCAAAUCUUUGAACGCAUAUUGCGCUCUUUGGUAUUCCGAAGAGCAUGCUUGUUUGAGUAUCAGUAAACACCUCAACCUCCUCUUGUUUUUUCAAAAGGAGGGUGGACUUGAGCUAUCCCAACAACCUUCACCGGUAGGCGGGCGGCUUGAAAUGCAGGUGCAGCUGGACUUUUAUCUGAGCUAAAAGCAUAUCUAUUUAGUCCUCGUCAAACAGGAUUAUUACUAUUGCUGCAGCUAACAUAAAGGAUAAUUGUCCUCAUUGCUGACUGAUGCAGGAUUUUACGACACUUUAUGUGUUGUUCAACUCGAUCUCAAAUCAAGUAAGACUACCCGCUGAACUUAAGCUCAUCAAUAAGCGGAGGA